AGAAAUUCAUGGAUAAUAAAAAAGCUUCUAACUUUUCUUAUGGUGGUUCAAUUCCACUAAUUUCUU
rnacentral:tRNA from 1 species